rnacentral:lncRNA from 1 species
GAUGAUGUCAACUCCCUAAGGUUCUAUUUCCUGUAUAAAAAGUGUGCUUAUGUUUAAGAUUUUUUGCUGAAUCUUUUCCUGGUAUUUUCUAAGUCACAACAUCUUCUCUCUCCUUCCUCCUGCUAAAUUAUUCAAGACCUGGAAGCUGAAGUCUUAAAAAUGAAAAUCUCACAUCAAGAGACUAAAGCAAAACUAGAGAGAUGCAAAAAGGAUUAUUCUCAAGAAUAUAGGAAAUGAUCAGCAUGAUGAUUUCAGAGAGGUCAGGGGAGACAUACGUAAACUGAUGCUAAGUGAAAUGAGAAGAAAAAGGCUAUUUUUGUACAUGGCAAAAUUAUAUGAUGAUCAAUUCUCAUGAACGUGACUCUUCACCAAUGGGAUCAUUCAGGUCUGCUGACGAUCUUGGGAUCAUGGGAGCCAUCUACACCCAGAGAGAGGACUGUGGCAACUGAUGAUUUACUACAAGUCCCUUUGUGGCGCCACUUCAUGACUAUGACUAUGAUAAUUAUUUGGGCCUUUCAGAAGGAAAUUCAAAAUAUUUUAUUGGAGAAAGAGACUUCAAUAAACGGCAGAGAAGUCUGCUUUGCAAAGGUAGUCAUUUAGA